rnacentral:rRNA from 1 species
GACGAACGCUGGCGGCGUGCUUAACACAUGCAAGUCGAACGGUAAGGCCCCUCCGGGGGUACACGAGUGGCGAACGGGUGAGUAACACGUGGGUAACCUGCCCUUCAUUGGGGGACAACCAGAGGAAACUCUGGCUAAUACCGCAUGAUGUGCACCUUCAUAAGUGGGUGUACCAAAGAUAGCUUCGGCUUUCGAUGAAGGAUGGGCCCGCGGCAGAUUAGCUUGUUGGUGGGGUAACGGCCUACCAAGGCGACGAUCUGUAGCUGGUCUGAGAGGAUGAUCAGCCACACUGGAACUGAGACACGGUCCAGACUCCUACGGGAGGCAGCAGUGGGGAAUCUUGCGCAAUGGGCGAAAGCCUGACGCAGCAACGCCGCGUGAGUGAAGACGGUCUUCGGAUUGUAAAGCUCUUUCAGUUGGGACGAAGCUUCUACGGUGAAUAGCCGUAUGGAGUGACGGUACCUUCAGAAGAAGCCCCGGCUAACUACGUGCCAGCCGCCGCGGUAA